CUCUUUUUAUUUCCCAGGAUUAUUUUGAAGUGAUAACUAACUUGUUCGUCGGAGUGUUUGUAGGAAGGUAUAUACGCUCUUGUCAUGAAUAGAUCAAAAUGAGUCUUGAGGUCAUUACAGGGAGAGCCAGCCGUUGAGGUUACAAAUGAAGGUGUUGAUGCUGCAGGGCAUACAAUUGGUACAUCUUUGGAGGUCGUGUUCAAACUUAGGAAGGUUCUCAACCCCAAAAGUGUGAUCAAACCAACAUCACUAGCUAAAGAUUAUUUUGAGAAUAACAUCUAUCGAAUAAAUUUCAGACGAAAGACCUUGUUAA